rnacentral:tRNA from 1 species
CCAGCGCCUGGUCUGCUACGGCGAGGCGCAGGGCUACCGGCCCUUGCGCGAGCAACUGCGCGUGCGCUUCGACCAGUUCGGUUUCCAUGCGCCGCCC